GACGAACCGUACGAACGUUAUUCGGAAUCACUGGGCUUAAAGGGUGCGUAGGCUGCGCAGCAAGUUGGGUGUGAAAUCCCUCGGCCUAACCGAGGAACUGCGCCCAAAACUGCUGUGCUCGAGGGAGAUAGAGGUGAGCGGAACUUAGGGUGGAGCGGUGAAAUGCGUUGAUAUCCUAAGGAACACCGGUGGCGAAAGCGGCUCACUGGAUCUCUUCUGACGCUGAGGCACGAAAGCUAGGGUAGCGAACGGG
rnacentral:rRNA from 1 species